GUCCCUGGAGCGCAAUGGAUAGUGCUUUGGACUUCUAUUCCAAAGGUCGUGGGUUUGAAUCCCACCUGGGAUG
rnacentral:tRNA from 1 species